GACGAACGCUGGCGGCGUGCCUAAUACAUGCAAGUCGAACGAGAAAUUCUUACACCGGAUGCUUGCAUCCACCGUAAGAUUUCGAGUGGCGGACGGGUGAGUAACACGUGGGUAACCUGCCCAAAAGAAGGGGAUAACAUUUGGAAACAAGUGCUAAUACCGUAUAACCAUGAUGACCGCAUGGUCAUGAUGUAAAAGGUGGUUUUGCUAUCGCUUUUGGAUGGACCCGCGGCGUAUUAACUAGUUGGUAAGGUAACGGCUUACCAAGGUGAUGAUACGUAGCCGAACUGAGAGGUUGAUCGGCCACAAUGGGACUGAGACACGGCCCAUACUCCUACGGGAGGCAGCAGUAGGGAAUCUUCCACAAUGGACGAAAGUCUGAUGGAGCAACGCCGCGUGAGUGAAGAAGGGUUUCGGCUCGUAAAACUCUGUUGUUAAAGAAGAACAGGUGUAAGAGUAACUGUUUACACCGUGACGGUAUUUAACCAGAAAGCCACGGCUAACUACGUGCCAGCCGCCGCCGUAAAAC
rnacentral:rRNA from 1 species